UAACCGACUGAGCCACCCAGGCGCCCCACACUUUGUGACUUUAGACAAGUCACUUAACUCGUCACAAGUUCCAAGACCAUCCCCCCUCUGCUGCCAAAUCUCUCUCGUGUCCCAGUGGGCCCAGGAGCUGUUGGAGUUUUGUGAAUCAAGGCCUUUUCCCACCUGGAUGUCACCCAGGAGGUCACCAAACCUGCCUGCAGAGGGCAUGAUGCUAUACAUAGGAAACCCUAAAGACUCCAUCAAAAAACUAUUAGAAUAAAUGCAUUCAGUAAAGUUGUAGGAUACAAAAUUAA